AUGGAGCCACUGUCUGCAGUGUGGCUGCAACGCCCGUGGAGCCCAUCCCAAACCCGCUGCCUUUCGCUCCCUUCCUCGGCAUGUAGCAGCCUUGCCUGUCCCAGCAGCCUUCUGUCUCGUGUCUGUGUGUCUGGGGGUGACACAGGAGGGAUCCAGUGCUGGGUCCCCAGGACCACAAGCAGCUGUCCAGUCUCUGCUCUGGUGUCACCCCUCCAAGGUCCCCAGGACCACAAGCAGCUGUCCAGUCUCUGCUCUGGUGUCACCCCUCCAAGGUCCCCAGGACCACGAGCAGCUGUCCAGUCUCUGCUCUGGUGUCACCUCUGCUCUGGUGUCACCCCUCCAAGAUCCCCAGGACCACGAGCACCUGUCCAGUCUCUGCUCUGGUGUCACCCCUCCAAGAUCCCCAGGACCACGAGCACCUGUCCAGUCUCUGCUCUGGUGUCACCCCUCCAAGAUCCCCAGGACCACGAGCACCUGUCCAGUCUCUGCUCUGGUGUCACCCCUCCAAGAUCCCCAGGACCACGAGCACCUGUCCAGUCUCUGCUCUGGUGUCACCCCUCCAAGAUCCCCAGGACCACGAGCACCUGUCCAGUCUCUGCUCUGGUGUCACCCCUCCAAGAUCCCCAGGACCACGAGCACCUGUCCAGUCUCUGCUCUGGUGUCACCCCUCCAAGAUCCCCAGGACCACGAGCACCUGUCCAGUCUCUGCUCUGGUGUCACCCCUCCAAGAUCCCCAGGACCACGAGCACCUGUCCAGUCUCUGCUCUGGUGUCACCCCUCCAAGAUCCCCAGGACCACGAGCACCUGUCCAGUCUCUGCUCUGGUGUCACCCCUCCAAGAUCCCCAGGACCACGAGCACCUGUCCAGUCUCUGCUCUGGUGUCACCCCUCCAAGAUCCCCAGGACCACGAGCACCUGUCCAGUCUCUGCUCUGGUGUCACCCCUCCAAGAUCCCCAGGACCACGAGCACCUGUCCAGUCUCUGCUCUGGUGUCACCCCUCCAAGGUCCCCAGGACCAUGA
rnacentral:lncRNA from 1 species